AUGUCCUCCAUCUAUCCCUGCUGCUACUUCCUCGGUUCCCCGGGGGAUAACCUGCUCGUCGUCCCCCGUCAAUGGCCAGCCCAAGGCGUCGAGGUCUUCAAGGUGGACGUGGAAACAAUGGAGAUCCGGCCGACAAGGUGCAUCGGUAAUCACGCUCUGCUCCUCGGUGACAACAGAUGCCUGUCCGUCGCUGCUGACAAGCUCCAUGCUGUCCAAGGCGAGGAGCUCCAUUCCAUCCGCCGCAACUGUAUCUACUACUAUGUCGGUGGCGAAGAUCCAGCUCCAGGCAUGUGCGUGUACGACCUCACCAAUGACAGGGAGGAGCGGCUCGCCCUGUUUGAUGCUGGAUGGAAUGAAACGUGCAUCAUGGAUGAAUCGGUCCGUCCCUCCAUGCUUCAGAAGCUCAUGAACUACUGCACCGAUAUCAAAUGGACCCAGAUAAGGCAGGAACAGCGUUACCGGCAAUGGCAGGAGAUCUACGAGGCGUUACUACAGAGUCGUGCGUGA
rnacentral:rRNA from 1 species